rnacentral:rRNA from 1 species
AACACGUGAGCAACCUGCCCCAGGCUUUGGGAUAACCCCGGGAAACCGGGGCUAAUACCGAAUAUGACCUCUGACCGCAUGGUUGGUGGUGGAAAGUUUUUCGGCUUGGGAUGGGCUCGCGGCCUAUCAGCUUGUUGGUGGGGUGAUGGCCUACCAAGGCGACGACGGGUAGCCGGCCUGAGAGGGCGACCGGCCACACUGGGACUGAGACACGGCCCAGACUCCUACGGGAGGCAGCAGUGGGGAAUAUUGCACAAUGGGCGGAAGCCUGAUGCAGCGACGCCGCGUGAGGGAUGACGGCCUUCGGGUUGUAAACCUCUUUCAGCAGGGACGAAGCGUAAGUGACGGUACCUGCAGAAGAAGCGCCGGCCAACUACGUGCCAGCAGCCGCGGUAAGACGUAGGGCGCGAGCGUUGUCCGGAUUUAUUGGGCGUAAAGAGCUCGUAGGCGGCUUGUCGCGUCGACCGUGAAAACUUGGGG